UGCAUUUAAUAAAAAGUAACGUGUUUAACCCUCAUAACAAUAAUCAGAUGAAGGUUCUAUUAUUGCCAAUCCCAUAUUACAGGUGAGGAAAUGGAGGUACAAAGUGUUUAAGGACACAGUUAAAGUCACGCAGACGGAAGGUGGCCCCCAGCUCUGCAUCUAGGCUUCCAACCCUAAAGCUGAGCUGUCUCUUGCUCCUGGGGCUGCCUCUCAUGGAACAGAGUCCAGCACGCGCCCUGGAGGACCACGAGAAGUAAAAUCCACAGCCUUCCAAAUGACAUGAUGACAGUCUUCCAUGCUCUUCAUUCCGUGGCAGUCACCUCCUCUGUGUCUUCAUCCUGCCUGUGCUGGAACUGCCCUUUUUGUAAAAAUGUGUUCAUGGAUUUAUUUAAGAAAUAUUUUUUAGCCCAAAUAACUGUUCAAGUUUGCCAAUUAAUGUUUGUUUAUAAUAUCUUUUAUGUACUGAACAAAAUAAUCUCUACAAGUAGACCAUGUGUGAUGUCUUCCAUUCUUUUUGGGAUUCUUCUGAUCCAACAUCAGAUACAGUGCUUGUUUAUCUCUGUGCGCUUCAAGCUGUCACUUGGUGCUUCUGGUUGUUUUGUUAACACGUUGAUCCAUCUAAUACCAAUUUUGUUACAUCAUGGAAGGGUGCUAACCCUUCUCCAGCCCUGUGGGAGAAUGAAGAAGUGGGAAGGCAGACUUAUGGAUAUCAACAAGCACACAGUCUAAGAGAAGGGAGGCAACACAUCUAAAAGAACUAAACUGGGCAAGGAUGAGUUUGAAUGAGUAUCCACGUUAAUGAUACAUAAUCUGUAUGGUAUAGAAUGAAAGUUCCAUGGAUGUUUAGAAUUGAGGAGUAAAGUAAAACAUUUCAGGAAUGGCUUAAGAUGUGAAAAUCAGCGAGGUGGUGUUAGGCUCACAUAUGACAACGCCCCAGGGGAGCAGUUCAUACGCUGUGAGGCAUGACUCUCACAUAACCCAGCAACAGCUGCUUAUCCCCUGGGACAUGAGGAAUCAGAAGAACUUCAUUUGAGUCCCAUCUCUGCUCUUCCCCACUGCACAUCCUUGUACAGGUCAUUUAUUUUUUCUGAAGACCUGUUUUGUC
rnacentral:lncRNA from 1 species